GAUGAACGCUGGCGGCGCGCCUAACACAUGCAAGUCGAACGAUUAAAGCACCUUCGGGUGUGUAUAAAGUGGCGAACGGCUGAGUAACACGUGGGCAACCUGCCCCUUUCAUUGGGAUAGCCACGGGAAACCGUGGAUAAUACCGAAUACUUCGAGACUUCCGCAUGGAAGACUCGAGAAAGCUCCGGCGGAGAGGGAUGGGCCCGCGGCCUGUUAGCUUGUUGGUGGGGUAACGGCCUACCAAGGCAAUGAUGGGUAGCUGGGUUGAGAGACCGACCAGCCAGAUUUGGACUGAGACACGGCCCAGACUCCUACGGGAGGCAGCAGUGGGGAAUCUUGCACAAUGGGCGAAAGCCUGAUGCAGCGACGCCGCGUGCGGGAUGAAGGCCUUCGGGUUGUAAACCGCUUUCAGCAGGGACGAGGCGAAAGUGACGGUACCUGCAGAAGAAGCCCCGGCUAACUACGUG
rnacentral:rRNA from 1 species